GCCACACAACUUUCUCUGGUUUAUCCAUUCCAGGAAUCUCAAUCCAACAAAUCUUAUCAUACCAUCAUAUCAAUCGCGCAAAGCGUAUUGCCAUAUCCCACACCAAUUAUGUUGCUACUAUACCAGUAAGUACUUGAUGUCCAGCAUGGAUGCUGGUGGAGAGGAACCGUUUCCUGCUAGCACACGACGGUUGAACAAGUCCAGGAGCACUCGUCUAAGCGGUAAGAAUUUCACUGUGUGGCGCGACGGCAACCUUCGCUGGUUCUGCUGAUUUUUCCUCUUGUGCCUGUGAUGGUCCAAACAAUCUCCAGUUAAGCUUUUUGACAGUUCACUUGUUUGGCAAUUGGCAUACGAAGAACCAAGCUAGAUAGGGUAGAGAACUAAUUCAAGAUUACUACUGUAGCAAAUAUGGGCACCACGGGGAGAUAGUCAUCUUACUAUAAUAUUUGAACAUAUAAACAAUGACUUUGUGUCUAUCUCAAAGGCCUGAAAGCAAUAAAGCUAGGAUAUGUAGCGACUAAUCAAUUUUUUGGACUGUUUGGUCUGAUUGUAUUAGAAGGUAAUGUCCAACCAGCCAACAAGUCAAGUCGUCCUAGAACUCAGAUGUGAGGAAGUAAAUGUUGCAGUCAAGAAAACUCUCAAAAUUAAGAAACCACGCCAAAUAUGAGAGGUAAGCGUCACAAAGGUAGAGCUGUAACUUUUCAUGGUUUUCUAGGUAGACUCAGAAAGCAGGUAAAAAAAGUAAAUUAUGCUUUCAAAAAGUUGCCCAAAUUAUGGAACACGCCAAGUAAAGAGAAUACACAGACAGAUUUAUCAUUUAACAAAUUGAAGAAACAUACCCUUCUAGUGGAGCCACCGUAUGCUUCUAGCUCUCUCUUUGCAAAGGUUGGAAGAACAAACGCUGCCCUAUGCAUCUGGUCAGCAGCCAAAAAAACAAAUCAGUGUGCUUAUGGAUGGCAAUGAAUCGUAAUGCCAGAUUUCUCACGUCUAAGUUGGAGUGGAGUAUUUUUUUAAAAUAAACAUGAGGUAUAUACAGUAACUUGCGACUUGCAGAGCAUGAAAUCAUUGCAGCAGAAAAUUCGAGGAAUAUUAGAAUUCUGCAUCAUUUUAUUAGGAGUAUACUACAGUAUAUACCAAGACAAAAGCAAUACAGUAUAUUGUAAAAUUGGCAGGAUAGGUAACUUUCUAAACAGAAAAAACCUCUGUAUUAUAAAAUCUGAUGUCCCUCCCUGCUGUCAUAGCGCCUUCUAGUUUUUCGAUUGGAUUUAUGGGUGCCAGGAAGUUGACUGGUGGACCCUCUUUAGCACAUAGCAAAAACCCAAUUGCACCACUGCAAAUCAAGUAAAUGUUGUGUUACAAGUAAAUUUCAAAAGGAGCAACAUUUAGCACGUCAAAGACUUCAUCUAAAGCUGCAGCUCAGCAACAUUUGUUUCUCACAACCAGCAGCUCUUAAUGCGUAUACUAAGAGGAAUGGCAGCCAGCAAGGGUUGCCUAAUCAAUGAAAUUCAGAUAUAUUAUGUUUUAAUUUUUUGUACCAAAUUUACAAGGGCAGCUGACACCAACACCUAAUAACAGUUGUUUAACUAAAAGGUUAAAAUUGGCCCAACUUCUCUUUCUAGGAGGAAUAUGCCCUGAACUCCCAAGAUAAAAUAGCAUCCCUAACAGCAUUUAUCUUUCACAAAACAGCAAUACAAAAUCUCUUAUUUGAUGCCGAUGUGGAAUAUGCAACGUGUCGAAUAUCUCCAUCUCUUGUCUCUUGAUGUGUUUCUGAACACAGCAUAUCAGGAUGGUUUUUCAUUUGCUUAAUAUAAAUCAGGAAUGUAUUCAUGGCAAAAAUACCUAUCCAAUAAUAAUAGAAGACUGCUCAAAGUAAAUAACUGGUGCAACAAAAAAUAAAGAAAACAUCAAUAGCUUCAAUAAAAUGUUCAAUUUGCAUAAAGAGGUUUAGGGUUUGAUGUUUGAUCCACCACAGUGCCAAACGGGUCCAUAUAGGUUACAAUUGGUCACUACUGUAAAAUUUCAACAUCUCGCAUCAACCAGCUAGCACGACGUAAACCAGGUAAAAUGUAUAUAUAAUGUUGGGAAUAUUUUCUCACUAAUAUUUUGUCACAAUAAGACGCUCCUUGCAUGAGUUUAGCUAAAUCUGAAACAUCCUAUCAUUGAUUGCCCAGCGCUGCAACCAAUUUAGCUGCCAACAAUAGUGACACCCAUGAGGCCAUGAGGAUGAAGCCAGAAAAGUAGUGCACCAUUAGAACUAACCAAGUCCUAUGUGCCACCACACUACUAAACUCCUCUCGCUGAGAUGUCAAAAAACAAAGAAUGUGUAUGCAGCAAGCUUAUUCCAAGUCCCUAGUAUGUGCAUCUACCCAACUGAGAAUAGCACAAUAAGGAAUUUGCACGGCUUGCAUCCAUUAACAAAAGAAGAAGAAAAAGCAAGGAAACACAACAAACCAUACCCAUAUAUGUUAUGUCUUAUGUGGUAACGGUUUCAGUAAUGAAAAGCUUUAUUGUUUCAUGCCAUCUAAUAUAUCUAAUCUACAUGGCAUAUAAAUACAUGAACUGCGUUACAACCAAAUAAAAAGGCUAAGUCUAUACUAAUAGGUGCAUGCUAAAUUUAACACAUCAUGUGGCUUGGCUGUUGCUAUGAGAUAUAAUAGCAAACUGCCAAAUCUAUCAAAACAUAAAUAAGCAAACUUGUGUUCAAAAUAUAUACAGGGAUGGCAUAUGCUUUUAUUAUGAUCCAAAACAACGAAAUUGACCUAACAGCACUUCGAUGGGAAAAAAACAAAGAAAAAUUACAGGUACAGUUAUAAAAAUACAUAGUUUUAUUUCUCUAUUUGCAAUUAAAUUACUUUACAUAACAGUGGUGCAAAAACUUUUGAGCAGAUGAUGCAAAAAUAUGGGUGGAUAGUUAGUAUGUAACUCAGAAGUUGUUCGAAAGGAAAAAAAAUCAGAAGUUGAAACAGAAUGUGCAGUAGCUUGCAACAUGAAACAUUAACCUAAGCAAAGACCACAAAACAGGCGUGCAUAAGAAAUUGAUGGAGUAUAUGGAAAGGGUGAAAACCUAGGAUAUGUUGGGACACUUGCCCAGGCAUAGUGGACAGAACCCUUGAAAGUCUCACAGCAGAUCGAAAGCAUGUCCUGAAUCAGAUGUGUAUGCAACCACAUACUCUCAGCUUGAUUACAAAGAACACCGCCAGGUCUCAAAGCUCUAGCAAUUGUCUCAAAAAAUGGCUUCUCUACAAGUUCCUGAGCAGGCCCUGCAAUUGACAGUGCCGAAUGGAUAAUGUAAAAACGGCAAGAACAAAGAUAAAUACUCAUGCUUUUAACUUGUCAAAAAAGAAGAUAUGCCACAGUUGCAUAAGCUGACCUAUAGGAUCUGAUGAAUCAACAAUAAUAGCAUCAUAUGUCCCUUCAGGAGAAUUUCUUAGGAACUCCACAGCUGGAAGGAAAACAACUCCAGUAUGAAAUUUACAACAUCAACUUAAAGCUACACCUAGUGGUUGCAAAUAUAUAUGAUAUUUACAACAUCAACAAGUACUGUUGUAGUUAUGGCCUCGUGGGAUUAUCAACAUACCAUCACCAACAUGAAGUCGAACACGAGGAUCCUUAAAUCCAACAGAUAAGUCUGGGAAGAAAUCUUUACAAACCUACACAGUAAGAUGCAUGUCAGAAAUUUUAAUAACAUGGUUAUAUUUCUGCAUAUAGGUCAUAUGAGAAUUUUGUACAUCAAUAACUAGCUGAUCAAUUUCACAUAUAUCAAUAGACUCCACUGAACCAUGUCUGGCUAUCUCUCGAAGUACACCACCAUCUCCACCUCCAAUAACCAAAACCUGCAAUGUAGUUUCUAAGAACAUAAGUGACUGUGCUACAUUUUCAAUGGAAAUGCAGAUAAGAAAGGUUAAAUCUGCUGCUAUAUAGCAGCAGAAUAUCGUCAAUACAAUUUCAAUCAUUAGAUCAAAAGAGUCAUAUAAUUCACUGUAUAAGAAGGAACAUAGAUCACACGAUUACCUUCUUAGGAGAAGGAAUUGAACAGAGUGGGAGAUGAGUAAUCAUUUCCUGGUAGGCACAUUCAUCCUUAUCAGUCAAUUGUACAAUACCAUCAAGCGCAAGGACUUUUCCAUAGGUUAACGACUGCAUACAAAAACAACCAGGUUACACAAAAGAAGGCAAACACAAUUUUCCCUCUGGGUGUUAAUAGAUGAUAGAUGAAGAUAACCUCAAAAAUCAAGACUUCUUGGUAUGGUGACUUCCCCUGGUACAGGAUCUUUUCCACUUUCAAGGAAUGGGUCUCUCCUGAGUAGGGAAAAUGAAAUCACAAUGAAUGAGCAAGAAGUGGGGCUUGUUUCAUUGCACAAGUAAAUGCCCGAGAAAAAUGAGAAGUGAGAUGGUAAAGAGCAAUUGGAAAAUUCAAUGUGCUUGACGCGCAUAGUACAUGUAAACAAAUUGUAUCUUUGCAGAAACAAUUGAACAUACUUAAGGACAAGAAGUCAAGAUUCCUGAGUAUAACCAACACACACAUGAUUCGGUGAAACAUAAACACGUUAAGGAGGUCAGGAAUGAAACUAGUGCCAGAGACAUGCGCAAGAGAACUGGUAUGUAUUUGUAAAAGAAACAGUUGGGGUAACACAGAUGAUUCAAUGUUCAAAUAAAAAAAUUUAAAAAUUCCAGAGGUCCGGAUAUAUGAAACAGAACAAAAAUCCAUAAGAGUUUUGUUUCGGAAGGACUGAAAUUAGACACGAAAACCAUUGACAAAGAAAAGGCAACAAGUAGCACUGGGCUGCAUAUGCUCUCUAAUCAGAUGAUGACUAAAGAGGAAAAUUACACAAACUCAGAUCACCACUUCAGCAUGGAAAAGCAACAGUGUGCCACUGGUAUAACAAACUAAUGAAGAGAACACAAUGCCUGCUUGUGGUAAGCAUGUUACUAUGUUAGAUCAACUUUGUCCACCUCUUUCACAAUGACCGUGUCAAAAGGGGUGUGUUGAGUAAGUACAUUGAUAACAUAACUAAAAACUAACCAAAACCAUUUGUUUAAACAAAAGUGAAGAGGUUGUAGACUCAUAUUUAUCAAUAGUAAGAAUUUCUCUUGUCAAUACUGAGCCAGGCUAAAUUAUUUUCCCAAAACAGAAAGGCAAAAGCAUUCAUUAAAAAUCCAUUUUAUCGAUUCAGCACUAAUACCAUGCCUUAACAUCAAUGCAGGCAUGCAUCUGUUCAACCAGUAAUCAAGUGUCUACCAGAAUAGCAUUUUGUCGCAUGAACGGAUGUAGAAAACUUAACAUUACAUUCCUAUUGUGGAUUAUUAUUUUAAUGACAGGUAUAACCAUCAAGCAAU
rnacentral:lncRNA from 1 species